rnacentral:rRNA from 1 species
ACGAGUGAGGGCUUUGGGUCACCUCCCACCCAUGUUUAUUUUACCUUGUUGCUUCGGCGGGCCCGCCUUAACUGGCCGCCGGGGGGCUUACGCCCCCGGGCCCGCGCCCGCCGAAGACACCCUCGAACUCUGUCUGAAGAUUGUAGUCUGAGUGAAAAUAUAAAUUAUUUAAAACUUUCAACAACGGAUCUCUUGGUUCCGGCAUCGAUGAAGAACGCAGCGAAAUGCGAUACGUAAUGUGAAUUGCAAAUUCAGUGAAUCAUCGAGUCUUUGAACGCACAUUGCGCCCCCUGGUAUUCCGGGGGGCAUGCCUGUCCGAGCGUCAUUGCUGCCCUCAAGCCCGGCUUGUGUGUUGGGCCCCGUCCUCCGAUUCCGGGGGACGGGCCCGAAAGGCAGCGGCGGCACCGCGUCCGGUCCUCGAGCGUAUGGGGCUUUGUCACCCGCUCUGUAGGCCCGGCCGGCGCUUGCCGAUCAACCCAAAUUUUUAUCCAGGUUGACCUCGGAUCAGGUAGGGAUACCCGCUGAACUUAAGCAUAUCA